rfam:Ailuropoda melanoleuca scaffold1187_102, whole genome shotgun sequence.
GCCUGGUUGGCUCAGUGGGUAGAGCAUGUGGCUCUUGACCUCAGAGUUGUGAGUUCGAGCCCCAUGUUGGGUG